GAUGAAGAACGCAGCGAAAUGCGAUACGUAAUGUGAAUUGCAGAAUUCAGUGAAUCAUCGAGUCUUUGAACGCACAUUGCGCCCCCUGGUAUUCCGGGGGGCAUGCCUGUCCGAGCGUCAUUGCUGCCCUCAAGCACGGCUUGUGUGUUGGGCCUCCGUCCUCCUCCCGGGGGACGGGCCCGAAAGGCAGCGGCGGCACCGCGUCCGGUCCUCGAGCGUACGGGGCUUCGUCACCCGCUCUUGUAGGCCCGGCCGGCGCUUGCCGACACAUCAAUCUUUUUUCCAGGUUGACCUCGGAUCAGGUAGGGAUACCCGCUGAACUUAAGCAUAUCAAUAAGCGGAGGA
rnacentral:misc_RNA from 1 species